rnacentral:rRNA from 1 species
GCGCAGCAGUCGAGAAUUCUUCUCAAUGGGGGAAACCCUGAAGGAGCGACGCCGCGUGGAGGAUGAAGGCUUUCGGGUUGUAAACUCCCGUCAUUUGAGAACAAGUGGCCGAACGUAACUGCUUCGGCCUUGAUAGUAUCAGAAGAGGAAGGGACGGCUAACUCUGUGCCAGCAGCCGCGGUAAUACAGAGGUCUCAAGCGUUGUUCGGAUUCAUUGGGCGUAAAAGGGUGCGUAGGUGGCGCCGUAAGUCGGGUGUGAAAUUUCGGAGCUUAACUCCGAAACUGCAUUCGAUACUGCGGUGCUUGAGGACUGGAGAGGAGACUGGAAUUUACGGUGUAGCAGUGAAAUGCGUAGAGAUCGUAAGGAAGACCAGUGGCGAAGGCGGGUCUCUGGACAGUUCCUGACACUGAGGCACGAAGGCCAGGGGAGC